UACGUAGGGUGCAAGCGUUAAUCGGAAUUACUGGGCGUAAAGCGUGCGCAGGCGGUAAUGUAAGACCGAUGUGAAAUCCCCGGGCUUAACCUGGGAACUGCAUUGGUGACUGGCAGGCUUUGAGUGUGGCAGAGGGAGGUAGAAUUCCACGUGUAGCAGUGAAAUGCGUAGAGAUGUGGAGGAAUACCGAUGGCGAAGGCAGCCUCCUGGGCCAACACUGACGCUCAUGCACGAAAGCGUGGGGAGCAAACAGG
rnacentral:rRNA from 1 species